AUUGAACGCUGGCGGAAUGCUUUACACAUGCAAGUCGAACGGCAGCACGGGUCCUUGCACCUGGUGGCGAGUGGCGAACGGGUGAGUAAUACAUCGGAACGUACCCAGUCGUGGGGGAUAACGUAGCGAAAGUUACGCUAAUACCGCAUACGUCCUGAGGGAGAAAGCGGGGGACCGUAAGGCCUCGCGCGAUUGGAGCGGCCGAUGGCGGAUUAGCUAGUUGGUGGGGUAAAGGCCUACCAAGGCGACGAUCCGUAGCGGGUCUGAGAGGACGGCCCGCCACACUGGAACUGAGACACGGUCCAGACUCCUACGGGAGGCAGCAGUGGGGAAUUUUGGACAAUGGGCGAAAGCCUGAUCCAGCCAUUCCGCGUGAGUGAAGAAGGCCUUCGGGUUGUAAAGCUCUUUAGGUGGGGAAGAAAGGUAAUGAGUGAAUAACUGAUUGCUUUGACGGUACCCGCAGAAUAAGCACCGGCUAACUCUGUGCCAGCCGCCGCAGUAA
rnacentral:rRNA from 1 species